CACAAGCGAGUAGCGAGUGGGUGGCUUCCCCAAGGCUUCCUUCGCUGGGUCAAGACGGGCGUGACCUGGAUGGGUGCCAGCAGUCUCAACGCUCAGCUGCGCACGUGGGCGGUGAAUGCUUGAGGAGACGCACCCGAGAGCCUGAGUGUCAGCUGCGGUGCCCUCUCUGGUGUGAUUCACCUGCAGCUUCAAAGUUCAAGCCUUCUCUCUUCCACCUCCAUCAGCUGGCCGUUCAUGCCAGACCCUUCCGCUACCUCCUAUCAGCUGUCUGUGUAUUUCAGACCACCUACACUACCGCGGCAGCCUUUUAGCUCGUUACCUGUUGCUAAGAAUUCACGGCUCUAUAACCCCUGGGCAGAGACGAGACCCGUGUACCUAAGCACCUAUAACUUAAAGGAGAGUGCUAGCUGAUCCCCUUCACUGCAGGUAAAGAGCGUCAGAACUGCUGGCAGUGUAGGUUUAGAGCGCUUGACUGCCGGUGUUAGGAGUAAGGGCGAGUACUUCAGCGUGUAUAUCUUUAACAGGACUAAUUUGUGAUUGCUAUAACUUUAAGUAAAGGGAUUCUUGUCUUUGAUUACUUAAGGUUUAAAGUUUUAGAGUUCUCGAUUCCCCAGCAUGAGUUUAAGGUUUAUAUAAAUAGAUUUGAAAAGAAAAUAGGUGAAAUUGGGUAAAAUGCAUUGAUAUAUGACGAAUAAACUUAUUAAACACUUACCAUCGCAUGAGUUUGAGUUUGAUUUGGAUAAAUUAGAAACAUGAAAAAAAUAAAUAAUUGUUUCAUAAUACAAUGAUAGAAGACUUGAGUAAACCUAUUAAUCAUCGACCCUUCGCAUGAGUUCCAAUUUGAGGAAGUUAGAAAAAACAUUAAUGUCGAAACUGGCUCACGAUAAAGUGGUAGAUUAUAAUAGACUUGGUAAUUACGUUGUUACCGCCGAGUUGAUGAGCAAUUUAAAAGUUCAGCUUAAUGUAUGGACAGAGAUAAUACCUGGUUGUAAGUAUGGAUGUUCUAUAUAGGAACUGCAACGUGUAGACCUACUGGGUGCUUGUAGGUUCACUUAUAUUACAAUGUUCGUAAUUAAAGGAUAAAUCAAGCACUUUAAUAUAUGUAAAUCAAAUUAUUAUCCUUUAUGAUGCCUAGAAGUAAAUGUAAAGGUCAUCUUAUCAGCCAUGACACUAAAUAGUCCACAAGAGUAGUAGUCUUUUUUCUUGCAAUGCCCAUAAAGGUCGCCUGAGCACCUGCCACUAAAGGUUAUUAGCUCCUUCAGGUAAUGAACUUCUGGGUCACUUUACACCUGACGACGCACGACCAGGUAAUAUUAUGGCUGUUACUCUAUCAUCGACGGUCUUAUAUAACCUCAUUCAUCCUGCCCUUUCUUUCAACGAUCCCCACUUAAAAAACAUGUAAAUGAAAAAUUGUAGAAUAUUAAUAAGAAUAACAAUUUACUAUCGAUACGAGUAUUUACUGGAAAGUUCUUUAUUACUUAUGGCUCAAUUUUGCUAUUACUGUUUGUUUGUUUGUGUGUGUGUGUGUG